UCUUUGCAAGGCUGCUGUUUGUCAGUAAAGAGCAGGGAGUGGCGUGCUUGUGUAAAAGCAGGCUCUUUGCAAGGCUGCUGUUUGUCAGUGAAGAGCAGGGAGUGGCUGGGUGUACAGCAGGUAGCAGCUUGUGUGGACAAGCCGGCCAGAGGUAGUGCAGUUUAGUUGUUGAGUGUUUUUUCCUGGCAGUGUGGCUGGUUUGAAUACAGGACUCUGGAUUCUGUUCAGCUGAUCCACUCCCGAGAUCAGACAGGUCAUUAAAUCAGAUUUCGCCCAGGGCGUGCUGGCUGUGUGUACGGGUGUGUAAACAUCUGAAACUCCAGAGAGACCCCUGAUUUUCUUAUAAACAGGGGCAGUGCUGUCCUUAACCUGUCCUCCUUGUGGAUCCCAACCCUUAGAGACGUUUCCUACAGUAAAGGACAGUGAAAGCAUGGUAAAGAAUAGGGGAGCAGUGCAAAGCACAGUGAAAGCAUGGUAAAGCAUAGGGGAGCAUUGUAAAGCUCAGGGAGGUAUGGUGAAGCUCAGGGAGGUAUGGUGAAGCUCAGGGAGGUAUGGUGAAGCUCAGGGAGGUAUGGUGAAGCACAGGGAGGUAUGGUGAAGCUCAGGGAGGUAUGGUGAAGCACAGGGAGGUAUGGUGAAGCUCAGGGAGGUAUGGUGAAGCAUGUUAAAACUGACUGUGGGACCUCAGUGCCAGUUUCAGUGCCAGUCUGCCCUGUCUUGCUCUUCCUUUUCACUGCUGCAUCUUCCUUGUUUCCUUUAUUAAUCUUUGAGAUUGUUAACCCCGUCCCUCUUUAUAUAUUUCACAUUUCUCUUGUAUUAUUUUUUUUAGUUUAUUUUGAUGAACACAAUAAGCU